GAUGAACGCUGGCGGCGUGCCUAAUACAUGCAAGUCGAGCGAACAGACGAGGAGCUUGCUCCUCUGACGUUAGCGGCGGACGGGUGAGUAACACGUGGAUAACCUACCUAUAAGACUGGGAUAACUUCGGGAAACCGGGGCUAAUACCGGAUAAUAUAUUGAACCGCAUGGUUCAAUAGUGAAAGACGGUUUUGCUGUCACUUAUAGAUGGAUCCGCGCCGCAUUAGCUAGUUGGUAAGGUAACGGCUUACCAAGGCAACGAUGCGUAGCCGACCCGAGAGGGUGAUCGGCCACACUGGAACUGAGACACGGUCCAGACUCCUACGGGAGGCAGCAGUAGGGAAUCUUCCGCAAUGGGCGAAAGCCUGACGGAGCAACGCCGCGUGAGUGAUGAAGGUCUUCGGAUCGUAAAACUCUGUUAUUAGGGAAGAACAAAUGUGUAAGUAACUAUGCACGUCUUGACGGUACCUAAUCAGAAAGCCACGGCUAACUACGUG
rnacentral:rRNA from 1 species